UACGUAGGCAGCAAGCGUUGUUCGGAGUUACUGGGCGUAAAGGGUGUGUAGGCGGUUCUUUAAGUUUGGGGUGAAAUCUCCCGGCUCAACUGGGAGGGUGCGCCGAAUACUGAGGGACUAGAGUACGGGAGAGGAAAGUGGAAUUCCUGGUGUAGCGGUGAAAUGCGUAGAUAUCAAGAGGAACACCUGAGGCGAAGGCGGGUUGCUAGGCUGACACUGACGCUGAGGCGCGAAAGCUAGGGUAGCAAACGGG
rnacentral:rRNA from 1 species